CCAACUUUGCUGGCAUUCGGUGGCCAAUAAUGCAAUUGCAUGUCCUUGUUGCUGUUGCAAUGUUGCAGCUGGAAUUGCAAUUGCAUUUCUAGUUGCCGCUGCUGCUGCUCGAGUGGCAA
ensembl:ncRNA mir-4982 mir-4982 stem loop